CGCGAGGGCGGGGGUCAGAGGGCGCGGGGCGGGGCCGCGCCGGACAUGGCGGCCGCCGAGAGACCCGACUCGGAGGUGGAGGAGGCCGGGCACGUCUUCCUCCUGAUGAAGAAAGACUAUCGCAUCUCCCGCAACGUGCGCCUCGCCUGGGUCCUCAGCAGACUCCAUCAGGUCAUCUGGGCUGUGCCAGAGCCGGAGCUGGUAAAGUCAGAAAAUGAACUUGAUGUUCUCAGCAUCCUGCCUAAUGGGUGGCAGCCGGACGAGCCCGUCCAGCCCAGGCCCUAUCUCCUUGUGCCCUCUACACGGGUCACCUUCCUGGCCCGCCAGUACCGAUUUGUGAUUGAACUUGAUCUGAGCCCUUCCACGGGGAUUGUGGAUGACUCAACAGGGGAGAUAAUUUUUGAUGAAGUGUUUCAUGCCCUUUCCCGAUGCUUGGUGGGAUUGUUAAGACCCUUUCGUAUCCCUGGUUCAGACAUUAUCUACCAGCCAGAGAUCUUUGUCACCAUCCAGGCGUAUUCCUCCAUCAUUGGCCUGCAGUCCCAUCAGGUACUAUUCCAGGGUUGUCAGCUGGAUGAGACGAAGCGAGAGGCCUUUCUGCACCAAGUUUACACACAGCUAUGUGCCUUUGAGAACAAAGUGGCAGAGAUGCUCCAGCAACAGUAUGAACCCAAACCGCAGGUAGAUUUGUCACCCCUGAGCCAAGAGAGCCCUAGUGAUGUGCAGGAGUCAUCUGGGAGGAAGCCCAGCGUGUCUGUUGUCACUGCCGAUGUUGGCCUUGUCAGCAUGGUCCGGCAGGGGAUCCUAGCACUGCAGCUGCUGCCCUCCAACUCCAGCGCAGGUAUAAUAAUAAUUACGGAUGGUGUGACUAGUGUCCCUGAUGUGGCUGUGUGCGAGACUUUACUCAACCAGCUCCGCAGUGGCACAGUGGCCUGCUCCUUUGUACAGGUGGGCGGUGUCUACUCAUACGAUUGCAGCUUUGGCCACGUUCCCAAUGUGGAACUGAUGAAAUUCAUUGCCAUGGCCACUUUUGGUGCUUACCUCUCCACGUGCCCUGAGCUGGAUCCCCUGAGCCUGGAUCUGAAUGCGUAUCACAAGGCAUUUCUGCUAUACUCCUUUCUGCGUACUGGGGAGUCCCUGAAUCCAGAAUACUACUGCGGUGAGGAACGUGCAUGUCUUCCUUCCAGCAGAUGGAUGUCUUACAGCACCUGUCUUUGGGUGUCCCAGCACAGACUGUUCAAUGAGCAUCUGGUGUCUGCAAGCAGCAACCCUGCUCUGGCGAUGAGGAGGAAGAAGCACACAGAGAAGGAGGUGCACGCUGACCUUGUGAGCAUUGUCUCAGUCCGGCUGCGCGAGGGCUACAGCAUCCGUGAGGUUAACAUCACGAAAGGUGGGUCUCAGCUGGAGGUGAAACUAGUGCUGCUUUGGAAGCAUAACAUGAGGAUAGAGUACUUAGCUGUGACACCCUGGCCCCUGGACCCAUCAAAGCGCAGCACAUGGGUGGAGGUAACGAUGGAGGGAAGCUAUGACAUCUUGCAUGACAUCAGUUGCACCAUGAGGAAGCCUAUCACCAGUCUGUACCGCACUACAGUCAUCCGGCGCUUCUGGAACACCUUGCAGAGCAUCAACCAGACAGAUCAGAUGUUGGUUCAUCUGCAGUCUUUUGACACAGUCCCAGAACACUUCACCAUUCCUGAGAGCACCAAGAAUGGGGUGCCCCUCUUCUACAUCCCCCCAGGCUCCACCACUCCGGUGCUGUCCCUGCAGCACAGUGGGUCUGACUCGAGCCAUUCCCAGUUUGCCUCCUACUGGAAGCCUAUCCUUUCCAUGGAUGCCAACUUCUGGCAGAGGUGGCUGCACAUGCAUCGUAUAGUCCUCCUUCUGGAGCAUGACACGCCUGUGCCCAAGCACCUGCACACGCCGGGCAACAAUGGCCGCUACAGCACCAUCCAGUGCCGCAUCUCUCACUCGGCGCUCACCUCCUUGCUGCGGGACUGGAGCAGCUUUGUGCUGGUGGAGGGCUACUCCUACGUCAAACUGAUACACAGCUCUGAAGAUCCCACACCUUCCUCGUUUUAUGUGGUGCGGAUCAUCUCCAAAGCUCCCUGCAUGGUUCUCCGGUUGGGGUUCCCCAUUGGCACACCUGCACAGGCCAGGAACAAGAUAGUGGAGGAGUUACGGGACCGAAUCUUGCAGCUGCGCUUUCCCCACAGGGUCCAGAGCAAGGAGGCAACUCCAAAAGCAAAGAGGAAAAUGUUUGGCAGUAGUUCUCCCUCCAAGUCUCCACCUGUGGCUGGGGCCCAGUCAGCCCUCUCAGACAGACCCUGCCUCGUUGUGCUGCACAAACCGUUGGAGAAGCUACUCAUCAGGUAUGAGAAGCUGCCUUCUGACUAUCGAGUUCCCUUCAUUCUCAACCUGGAGCAUCCCCCAGUGUCUGGCCCGCUCACUAUGGUGGCCAAUCGCACUGCCUCUUCCACCCUGGCCUCACUGUCCCGCUACUUCUAUCACCAGCGUUGGAUCUGGAGUGUCCAGUCGGGGCUGGCACCGGCUGUGCCCAUCACUGCUGUAGCCCAACUCCUUUCCACACUCACAGAGGUUCGUCUGUCAGAGGGUUUCCACUUUGCAUCCAGUGGGGAUGGAAUUAUCAACAUGGUGCUGGAGCUGCCCAUACAGAUUGAUGGCUCCAGUGAGAGCAGCAGUGGCAGGGAGAAGCACACCUGUGUCGUCCAAUACAUCCUCUUCCCACCCCACUCCACCUCCACCAAGGACAGCUUUUCCACAGAUGAUGACAAUGAUACGGAGGUAGAGGCCAUUGAGGUGGACACAGAACUGAACCUGGUCACUGAGUGCUGGGUAGAGCCACAGAGCGGCCAUGUCCACAGUACUGCUGAGAAUUGGAAGCACCUCCAUGGCUUGCCCUACCAGAAAAUACCUAAAGCGCUCUAUCCCCGGGACCUUGCGUGCAUUGCCACCAUGCUGACCUUUGAGUACAUCAGCCAGUUGUGCCAGAACAAGGAGUGGGUCUGCCCUCCUUCAGACACCAAAGCUACUGAAGAUCCAGACAUGGGGGCUGGUUUUCGAGUGCAUGAGAUCCCAUUCCAGUUCAACCUCAUGAAGCUGUUGCCCAGGUGCCAGCAGGUUGAAAUGUUCUUCCUAAUGCUGACAAAAGAGAAUGAGGAGGUGACCAAGGACUCUUCGUUUGUGCCCAAUGAAAUGCUACUAAACCUCUUCCAUGGCUGCCUGCAGCAUGACCUCAGUGACCGGGAGAUCCCCAUGGCUGAUGCUGAUCAUGUGGCUUUCAUGGAGCAGGUUCUGCAACGGGAUCGUGAUGGCCAUCAACCCCCCUUCACACUCCCUGUGAUCAGAGAAGAAAUGCUGAAAGCCUCUGGGACCCUGGAGCAGCAGGAUGCUUCUGCAUCCUAUCAUCUUGUUGGCAGCAAUGGCACCAGGGAUAUGACUGGCUCCACAAGUACUCUGCAGAGCCUUGGCAACACAGAGCUGCCUGAGGAUGACGUGACCCUGAGUGACACAACGGGGCCCUUUCCCCCACAAUGGCGAUGUUAUGCCAAGCUGGUCAACCCGCAGCAUGUGUUCCUGACCUUUCUGCCAGCCACCUUCUCAGAUGUACAGAAGCUGAUGGCCUGCGGGUUGGACAAACCUUCAAAAGAUGAGAGUCGAUCUGGAGAGGAUACCCUGGGACCUGUCUGUGCAGAGCAAGUCAGGGCUGAGGCUGAAGAAGGGGAUGCUGCAGUGCCAUUACCUACCCUCAGCAUAACACCAGCCCAUGAAGUGAGCCAUGACCCUGGAGAACAGGGUGGCCCCUCACGGAGAGAUGUACAUAUCUCCUUCUGUCGCCAGAACUCGCAAUCUGAGCUAGGCGAGUGCCGCAGAUUUCGCUGCCCCAUUUACAUCUACAGCUGCUCUUUGGAGCUGUUACGAGAGCAGCUUGUCAGCCCACGGGCACACCGUCCUCCCCGGGACAUCUUUUUCAGGUCCCAGUCUCUGGAACGUCCUCCUACUGCUGCUUGGCUAGACCACAAGCAUAAGGAGUUGGUGAGUUACUGCACACUGCUUCAGGAGCACUCCCACCAGUGCUAUGUGAAAGGGCUGUUCAAGAGCCUUCAGCAGUCACACAGCAUCAGCUCCCAGGACCUACUUACAGCCAUGGACUACUGUGAGGAGCUGCUCCAAGAGAUUGACAUCACCAACUUCUUGCUGACGGUGUGCAGCCAUGUCCGCUCAUUCAGAGAGAGCCACCAACAUUUCCGUACGCACUCCAAGACAGCCAGCUUCCAAGUGGGCAGCAUAGAGCAAGAAGAGGAGCAGAGCUCUAGGGAACGGGGUGUCUUGGUCUCUGAAUCAAGUGCGGAAAUGGAGGACUACAGUGAGCAGGACUCCCAUAAUGUUGCUAGCCCCACAGAGGAGCCAAAGAGCAGUACGGGCACCAGCUGCUGUUCAGAGUUUCCCCUCUCACUGCUGGAAAUUGGACAGCCCUGCCAGGCGCACCCUGACUUGCAUAAAAUUAUCCAGGAAAAAUUCCUGGAAAUUGGAAGUUUACAUUUCAAGCCGGUGCCAUCAAAUCCUCACUAUUUCUUUUAUUGCCCACCAUCAGCCAAGAAAGAGGAAGAGGCAUCUCGGGAUCAGGCAGACAGGAAAGGCAGUGAGGACAUGGAGGGAUCAGAGGCAGAACUGGCAGCUGAAGAAGGGACUGUGUCUGGGUGCUGCAUUGCCACAGAGAGUGACCCAGAGCUGGAGGUGGAGUACCGCGAGAAGCUGGAGCAUGAGUUCCCAGACACAGAUUCCCUCUCAGACUCCAACACAGUGAACCAGGAUGAUGACUCCUUCAGCGUGCUGGGAGGGGACUCACUCAAUGAGCAGGAGUUCCUGGAGCAGGAGAUGCCCCCGCUCUUUGUGCACCUUACCUGCUCAGUGAAGCUGCGUAGCCAGCACAGCUCCAUGCCUGUGCAGUCCCUGCCAACCUGUCUAGGGGAAGUUCUGGGCUGCCUGGAAAGCUGCCAAGGCUUGAACACCAUUGACUUGGGGGACCUCUGUGUGACCCUGGACAUCUUUGUGCUGACACUGCCCCUGGAGAUAGAAGUUGUGAACGCAGACAUUCUCCACAACAGAUGCACCUCGGAGAGUAGCGUGUCUUUCACACGCUCUCCAGGGCAGCCGUCCUCUUUCCGCUCAGAUGAAGAUAUCAUGCACAACUUGGAACGGCUCCCGUCCACAGGAGAUGAGAGGCACCCUGCACUUUCCAACCUCCCUGGAGUGCACAGGCAGGCUAUUGAAGCCACUAUGAAUGAGAUUCGCUGGCUCCUGGAUGAUGAGAUUGUGUCUGCGCUGCGCCACUCGCAGGUCAUCAGCACCUCCAUCCUGCACCGGGUGGCCACCCACAUCUAUAACUCCAAGGGACGGCCCAGCUGCCACAGCGAGGUGGUGCUACUCCAGUUUGUCUUUGGACCUGAGCACUCUCUGGAGAAGUUCAAGGAGGAGUUUAGAAGAAUGGCUCUGCCAGGCUACAUGCUUAAUGCAGAAGGCAGUGACUACCACUACAUCUCCAUCAGCCGCCUGCACUCCAGGCGGGCAGCUCCAAACCUUUCGGGGACACCCUGCUUGCAGCAGCCAUCUGGAGGGGGUACCAGGACAGCCCUGGGCCAGGCAGGCCAGGAGGGGAGCAGUGAAGCAGAGGCAGAGGGCUCUGAGCUACACCAUGCAAGCUGUGUCCUCCCAGAAGAAGCCCGGGGUCUCUGGGGGUGGCCGGAGAGCGAGACACGCAUUGUGCCAGACACAGGAAACCCCGUAGGUGGGGGCAGCCACACCCAGGAUGAGGUCCCAGGAGAAGCACUGAGCCUUGACCAGAGCAGAGCACCUGGCCAUGAUUCCCUGGAGGAGGCAGCUCCAGAGACAACCAUACAGUCACUGCCAUCCUCAUCCUCCGAAAAGGGCAACAGUGAGAAAUCACCAUUGGUGACACCAUCUGUAGCAAGCCUGUCUGACUCCGUAACGCAGGGCAGGGAAGGCUCCAGCAAGCAGCGUCCCAGCCGUGUGCAAAGCCUCGUGUCAAGCCAGGGCAGCAUGGACUCCGACCACCUGGGUUACGAUGGGGGAAGCAGUGACUCGGAGUAUGAGGAGGCGCUAAUGAGUGACCAGGAACCCAGGUGUCCCCUCAUGCCGGAUUUCUGGCUCAUCAUAAAAAUCCAGCAGGACCGAGUAGAGGUCUAUUACCACACACGCAGCCUGAGUGUGGAGAAGGCAGCAUCAGCAGAGACAGAAGAGGAGCAGCCAGGGGAGUGCCAGAGUCUCAACCAGGUGGUGGUGAAGAAGAUCAGUGAAAUCUGCAGAGUUGUCAAUCAGCGCUUGCUGCUGCAGGACCUGCAUGACAGCCACAUAUGCAACUCAUUACUGGUGGCAGAAAGUGAGGAGGACAUCUGGAAGAGUGAAACGCCCUAUACUUCAUACAGGCAGCGCGUCAUGCCUACAGACGACUACUCUGUAGAGGAGAGCUACCAGCCCCGGGACUACCUGGCUGCCACCAUGCAGUUCAUGCCUGGGCACUUUGCUUGUGAUGUUGUGUGGAGUACACUCAUCCAUGUGCAUUCACGCCUCAAGAUGGGCCCCAACAUGGGGGUCUCGCGAGCUAUCCAGGCGCUUCGCUCGGUGCUCAACGCCUUCUCUGUGGUGAACAGGAAGAAUAUGUUUGUCUACCAGGAACGUGCCACUAAAUCUGUUUUCUACCUCCGAUUGACUGAAACCACCUACAGUGGGAAGGUGUGGGAAGCAGAGAGCACCCUUAGUCCAGCAUCUCGCUCGCUGGCACUGACACGCAGCCAGGAGCCCAUUUACACUGAAGAUCUAAUGGGUUCUCGUUCCUCUCUGGAUACAGCCUCAUGCCGUAGUGUGGACUCUGCCCGCCCUGUGGGACAGGUAGACAGGCACAUCCAGCUGAUGGUCCAUGGUGUUGCCCCAGCAGGGCCUGAGAUCACAGAUGAGCUGGUGAAAGUGCUGCGCAGACGCCUGGAUGAGGCCACCCUGGACAUCAUUACUGUGAUGCUGGUGCGGAACUGCAAGCUGACCCCAGCAGAUGUGGAGUUUAUCCAGCCCCCUGGAACGCCGCCCACAGAGGUCCUGCAGUUCGCACUGCCACCCUCCGCCCUGCCUUGGCUGCAUGCGGUGGCCUACUAUCUGCGCCAGAACCUGCUCAUCUUCCUGCACACCCCGAAGUACACGGACAGCAACGUGGAGCACCACUUCAAGCACUACUUCAACCACAGUGGGAGCAUCCCUGACCAGGAUCUCUAUCUGUACAACAAGCCGGGUGGCCAAGGCACUGGUGGAAAAGGUACCAUGUCGGACCUUGUGCAGCACCUCUUUCCACUCUCCCACUUCCAAGGAAUCGCGUGCAUUGCACUGACAUUCGUGGAUGAGCAUGGCAGCCCCACCUCACUGCCCCAUGGGGAGAGGCCUGACCCUCUGAAGCUGCCUUCCUCCUCACCCAUCAUGGGCCUGCUGCAGGAUGCUGACUUUGAAAGCCUCACCGCAGUCAGCAGGCACCAGCCGGAGACCAGCACCCUGCAUUCAGAGCCCCGCAUGCUGGUGCGCCUGGAUAUCUGGGAGAAGGGCAACAUCAGCCUGCUGCAGCUGUCGGAGAAGCUGCGUGGGGCCCUGCGCCAUGCUCUUUGCGACGCCGUCAUGGAGUUCCUCGUGCUGCCAGCCCCGCUCUGUGUGGAGGCCACCAGCCCCCUGGGUGCUGCAGACCUGGAGGAGCUGAGCUCUGCAGGAGGCCUAAGGAGGACCAUGUCAGAGACCAAGGGCCUGGCCCUGGCCACUGGUGGGGCUGGCAGGAGCUGUCCUCCACCCUUGCACUUCACCUCUGCCCCUUCGUCCAGCUCCGGGGAGCCAGUGACACCCACAAGCAAGCUGGGACGCCGCAGCUUCUGGGACAUGCUGAGCAAGGCAGAGUCCUCGGAGCUGGGCAGCCCCAAGACUACUGAUGACAUUGUGCUGGAGAGGCCAGAAGAGGCUCGCACGAGGCGGCGGCACAAGACUGAGAGUGUCAAGCAGCAUCUGAGCCAGGAUCGGGCCACAGCCACAGCUGAACUGGAACAGGCACAGAGGCGCCGAGCCUGCCAGUUGGAAGAAGGGGAUGUAGGUACCAUGCACCCACUCUUCAAUCAAACUUGCCAGCAGUGGAUGGCAUUCAUGAACCACCUGGGGUGCCCUUCGGUGCAGCAGUGCUCAGUGGAGAUUGUGUCUCGUUUCCUCCUGUCCUCCAUCCUGGUGGAAGUGGUGAGCCUGGUCACUGCCCUGGCGAGCGACACCACUGUCAAGGUUUUUGAGCAGAUCUGCUACCAUCAGGGCACUGCCUUCCUGCCCUAUAAGCCUGGCCAGAGCGCCAGCCCUCGCCCUGCAGCCGUCAGACACUUCAUCCUGCUGGGACGCAACUUCCAGCAGUGGCGUUGCAGCACCGAACAGGCUCACAAAGGGCUCCAGCGCUUUGAGGCCAUGGAAUUCAGCUCAGCAGAGAGAGGCUCUGAUCCUAGCCUUGCUGGACGAGACCUGGCACCUCGGCAAAGGUUCCUCUUCAUGGAGAUCAUCGACAAAAAGCUGACGCUCUACACUUAUAACUGGUCCCCAGACCUGGGGGCCAACCUGAACUGCUCCCUUACUCGCCUGCUGCAGUGGCAGAAUGCUCGGUCCCACAUUGUGCACUGCCUGCUCAGCCAGAAGCUGGGACUCUUCCACCACCACUGCUUCAUGGACACACCAUGGCAUGAGGACAGCAAGCAGGAGCCAAAUCCUUUCCUGAACUCCACUUUGGAGGUGGAUGCGCUGAUCCGGAGCUCCAGUCCCCCACCUAGCAAGGAACAAGGCCGGCUGAGCAGCUCUGCCCGCAGCCUCCCAUCUCUGCACUUCCAUCCCGAUGUGGUGCCCUUUGAUGAAGCUCUGCGGGAUGUUACCACCGUCAAGCGCAUACCCCAUGGGCCUGACUUGGGACCUUUUGACCCUGUGUCUUGGCAUGGGGCUCAGUUCCUGGAAAUCAAGAGCAUGGAGAGGAAAGAACUGGAGAAGCAGAUGAAGAUUGAAAAUCUCUUUGUUACCUGGCAGCAGAGAUCGGCGCAGUCCAACAUGCCUAUCAGUUUGGCAGACCUGGAGACCCUGAAGCAGUCCUCACGCCUGGUUCACUACUGUGCUACUCCCUUGCUCUUUGACCCAGCCUUCCGGCAGCAGAUCCAGACUGACCAGCAGGGCAAGGUAGAGGGGAAGAAGCGCCACCGCUCAAAUGACUCUACAGCUUCAGGGAGAGACCGCAGCCACAGCUGUGACUCGGCAGAAGCGCUGCCCUGCAAGGUGAAGGAGGAACCCUGGCUGCAGGAGAUGUGCAAUGCCUUCUUGCAGCAAUACAUCCAGUACCUGCAGAGCAUGGGCUUCAUUCUGGUCCAGGUCCGGCCACCCUCACCCACCACUCGCAGUAGCACCAGCCGGAUCCGAGCUCUGGCAGCAAUGGGUGUGGAGGGGAGAGGGUCCUUUUCCUACACGAAGCCAAAAGCAGAAGGUAGUCCAAAGAGCACAAGCCCUGCUGUUGCCACCUAUCAUCUACAGAGAGCUCUUCCGGGUGGGAUUGUACUGAUGGAGUUGGCUUUCCAGGGCUAUUACUUCUGUGUGAAGCAGUACGCGCUGGAGUGCUCGCGGAUCCCCAUGGGCCAGUCUGUGAACUCCCAGGGCACUCUUACAGCCAGAGCUCGCAGCAAGAGCUGCAUGGGACCCAGCUCCGUCUCUGAGUCUGCGCUCUCUAUGCUCUUCACGGAGGAGUGUGACAAGGUGCGGGACCUCAUGCACGUGCAUUCAUUCAGCUACGACUUCCACUUGCGUAUAGUCCACCAUUAUCUGCUGGGUUCCCACAUGACUCUCCGCCAGGGCUACCAUCUCACCAGCUUCCUGGAAGAUUUCAUUGCCCACCACCCCGACAUCCCCAAAUUUGGCCGCAACCACGUUUUCCAAGGCAUGCUGGCCCUGCCCACCAACAUGAUCACUGCACACCAGCUGUACAACUACAUCGCUGACCACGCCAACACCUACCACAUGAAACCCCUACGCAUGGCCCGGCUGGCCACAGGCAGUGACAACAAGAAGGGGACACCAGGCACAGAGCAGAACGAAUAUGCGCUGGUCUCUAUUUGGAACAGCUCGGGCUCCUACAAGGACUCUGAAGGUCUGCGUCAUCAUGAUGACUUUGAUGUGUCCCUCCUGGUGUGUCACAGUGCAGCACCGUUUGAGGAGCAGAGUGAGGCAGAGAGACGCAUGCUCCGCUUACGUUUCUACGUCAUCAUGACUAGCCAGCGGGAGCUCUUUCCCCGGCUCACAGCUGACAUGCGACGCUUCAAGAAGCUGCCGCGCUUGCAGCGGGAAGUGCUGGAGCCUGUGGUGGGCCGGGCGGCCUGGGAGGCAGCGGAGCCGGAGACAAGCCUGGGGCGGCAGCAGCCAGCAGAGCGGGAGCUGUGGCAGGACGUGGAGGACAGCAGCGAGUUCUACGCGGGGGGCACGCAAGUCAAACUGGGACCAGGGCUCUUCUACACCUCACCACUCUUCCCCUUGCUGGCCUCUGAGGUGGCCUCAGCCCAGAAGCAGCUCAGCAGCAUGGUGCAGCUGGCCAAGUGCCACUGCCGCAGGGACAACCUCUGGAAGCGCCUCUUCCUUCUGGAGCCUCUAGCUUCUGACAAGCUGAAGCUGGGCAAGCUCUCGCUGGUGGAGCUGGAGGAGCUGCUCGACGCCGUGCAUGGGAAAUCCAUUGCUGAUGUCGACCCCCAGCUGGGAUGCUUCCUCACCAUGACAGUCUCCUGGUACCAGAGCCUCAUCAAAGUGCUGUUGAGCCGCUUUCCACAGAGCUGUCGGCACUUCCACAACGCUGAAACCGGCACCCAGUAUCUGGUCGUGCUCAACCAGAAGUUCACGGAUUGCUUUGUUCUUGUGUUUCUUGAUUCCCAUUCAGGAAAGACGCAGAGCCUCACUGUGGUUUUCCGGGAGCCAUUCCCAGUGCAGCCCCAGAACAGCGAGAGCCCUCUGCCACAGCUUGUGUCUACGUACCACCACCUGGAGUCAGUUAUCAACACUGCCUGCUUCAACCUCUGGACAGGCCUGCUCUAGCACUGGCACCCGUGUCCUGGAGCAAUGCGUGUACUGGACCUCUCUGCACCGCUACACCGUGGGUGACGAUGGGGAAGAACAGGCCUCUGGGAGGGACCUGUGCUCUGGCACUGCAGGCAGCGCUGCUAGCAGCAUGCAUGGGUACUGAACUGAGGAGUCUGGGGAUAUGUACCUCCAUCGUUUGCUGGCUGGCUGGUGUGGCCCUCACUGCGCUGUUUUCAGUGGGUUUGAUACUGAAUGACCUUGAACCGAACCGCAAGGGCAGGAGCUCGGCAGCUGUGGCUUGGCUGAAGCAGAGCGACUCUCAGGGACAUGGCUCGCAUCUGCAGGGUCAGUGCUAGGCACUGCAGGACUUGGAAGCCCAGAGCCCUCUUCCUACAACUCCAGGCACCAGCUGGAGCUGGAGUGGGAAAACUUCUGCCCUUCCCAAAGAGUGAAUGCUCCCCUUGGCAGGGGAGACUAGAAACCUCUCCCUGGACACCCCUGCAGACUGGAAGUGACGGGUCUCCUGUGUACCUUAAGUCAUCUACAGUGGUGCCCAAGCCAUCCCCAGAUAUGACAUGCUGCAGACGGUACUUGAGCAGAUGAGCGUCCAACUCCUUAGGCUGGACCAGUAGGGCCUGGGGAAGGGAAAUACAACAUCGAUGGUCCUAACCU